rnacentral:tRNA from 1 species
UGGCUCAGUUGGUAGAGCAUGGUGUUUAACGCCAGGGUUGUGGGUUCGAUUCCCAU